rnacentral:rRNA from 1 species
AGGGUUUGAUCAUGGCUCAGGAUGAACGCUGGCGGCGUGCUUAACACAUGCAAGUCGAACGAACCUUCGGGUUAGUGGCGGACGGGUGAGUAACGCGUGAGAAUCUGCCCUCAGGAGGGGGAUAACGGUUGGAAACGACCGCUAAUACCCCAUAUGCCUAUUGGUGAAAUGAAUUUCGCCUGAGGAUGAGCUCGCGUCUGAUUAGCUAGUUGGUGAGGUAAUGGCUCACCAAGGCUUCGAUCAGUAGCUGGUCUGAGAGGAUGAUCAGCCACACUGGGACUGAGACACGGCCCAGACUCCUACGGGAGGCAGCAGUGGGGAAUUUUCCGCAAUGGGCGAAAGCCUGACGGAGCAACGCCGCGUGAGGGACGAAGGCCUCUGGGCUGUAAACCUCUUUUCUCAAGGAAGAAGAUAUGACGGUACUUGAGGAAUAAGCCACGGCUAAUUCCGUGCCAGCAGCCGCGGUAAUAC